UUUUUUUUCUUCCCUUUUUCCCUCCCUUUCCUCCCUCCCUCUCCCCGCCGCCGGGACUGGAGCCGCCUCAGCAUAACCCCGCUGCCUCCGCAGCCCCUCAGCCGCAGUCUACCGUACCAAGAAGAGAUUCUAGCAGGAAGCGACAAUCAAUGCAAUGCUUGCUUGAAAGCAUAAAGUGAAGGUGGGGGAGAAGACGAAGACUUGGACCAAGUUCCUUCGCUCUUGGAUUGUGAAUGGACUGUGCUGAACUCUGCCUGGGGACCUCCCAUGCAUAAACCCUGCUGGGGAUGAACAGCUCCUGUGUCUCUGGCAUAGUAUCGGGGCACAGACCCCUCAUUUCAUGUCUCUUCUUCAAAUACGGACCUCUGCAGCCCAAACACUGCAGGCCCUUCGACUAAUACUGACCAUACCACAGUCCCUCCCCAAACUCUCCUUAGUAGUAUAUGGAAGUUCACUCACCAGACCAUUUCUGCUUCUAGUUUAACUCUUUGACAAAUACGUAGCUAUUAAAGCAAGCAGCCUUCAGCUGAGAAAACUUCUUUUAAGUAGCUCAGUUGAUUAUUUUUUUCUUUGUUAGACAGUAUCUCUUUUUAAAUGCAGUUUGCACAAGUUUCUUUCUUCUUACCUCUUCUGGAUUUUUGUGCAUUCACAAAAUCUUCCCAAUUAAUCAUUACACUGAUAGGAAUAAUCAGGAAAUCAAGUUUUUGGCUGUCAGCCUCAGAAGCCGCUCCAACAACUGCUCACUGCCCUCAUGUCAUUUCUAACUGAAAUAGAGUGUUACAGCAAACAUCAGAAUUCACUAAAUUGAAUGAAAUUAAUAAAUACAGGUAGUUAACAAACUUUUAUGGAGAUGCUUGCUUGACAUCUAAGGUAACUCUUAGAAGAAGUGGUCUAGCAUUUGAGAAAACCAAACCACUCUGGGAGGAAACCAAGCACAGAAAAUCUCAGACUAGCUAAAUGACAUACUGGGUGCUGUCAGCCAGAGAGGCAAACUCAUCUCCAUUGGAGUUUGAAGAUCUCACCCAGGAGCUGUGGCUUACUUGGUUUUUGUGACACGUUACUCAUGUGGAUUCCACAAACUACAUCCUUCUCUAUUCUUACAGUUAUGUAUCUUUAGUAAAGGAGGUAAAUAAUCAUUGCUGCCACCCACUGCUGCAUAGUCUUGGAAGAAGAGGGAUGAGGAGUACAGCUAAGGCAUUGGCACGGCCUCUAAAGACUCUGUUAGCUGAAAAUAAUCCGAUUUACAGGUAUUGCACCAAGAAAGAAACCUAGAUGACAAUGAAGUUCAGAGUCAAAUUUACUCUUUGUUAAAUAACCACUUUUUAUAAUAAUGUUCAUUGUUGGAGAAGUUACCAGCUGAAAAAUGAAGACCGGAGUGAAUGACACGAAUGGAGUUAAAAUAGCUAAAGCAACGUCCAAGGUGGUCCAUUCCAUAAUAACGUCACCCUGAAACAGAUUAUCAGGAAAGAUCAGAAUAUACAUCAAUACAGAUUUUUAGAAAGUUAGUUUAUUAAAAUCUCAUGUAAUGCAAUUAAAUAUAUUGUUUGGUAUAAAGUCUAUAUUAGAAAACACUGGAAAACCAUCUUCACCUAACACAGCUAAACAUACACAGAGAUGGUUGGGCGAAAAGAACUUUGGAAUUAAUGAAAGAAAGUUUGAGCAGAAAAUAACAAUGUACUUUUUAAAGGAAACACUUCCAUUAAUGAUGUAAAAUGAUAUGAUGUCAUACCUGUUUGUGUUCCUGAGCCAUCUGAAGCAGAAUAGUGUGAACACAGUGGAUGCUGUUACAUACAAUAACGUUACUUUCACAUUAAGCUUUUUAACUUUGUUUAUCUAGAUAUUUUGAACGAUUUAUCCUUCACUCUAGAACAGACACUACUCUUGUUGGAACUCAUGUCUUUACUUUGGGAAUAGCAGUAUUGUACCUGUUUUAUGAAAGAACAUAGAGUAAAAUGUCAUUUUUUUCCUUUAAUAUCUCAUAAAAUUAAAAUAUCUUUU